CAACUUGAGAGUUUGAUCCUGGCUCAGAACGAACGCUGGCGGCAGGCUUAACACAUGCAAGUCGAGCGCAUCCUUCGGGGUGAGCGGCAGACGGGUGAGUAACGCGUGGGAACGUACCCUUAUCUUCGGAAUAGCUCCGGGAAACUGGAAUUAAUACCGAAUGUGCCCUUCGGGGGAAAGAUUUAUCGGAUAAGGAUCGGCCCGCGUU
rnacentral:rRNA from 1 species